rnacentral:rRNA from 1 species
UACGUAGGGGGCUAGCGUUGUCCGGAAUCAUUGGGCGUAAAGCGCGUGUAGGCGGCCCGGUAAGUCCGCUCUGAAAGUCGGGGGCUCAACCCUCGGAUGCGGGUGGAUACUGUCGGGCUUGAGUGCGGAAGAGGCGAGUGGAAUUCCUAGUGUAGCGGUGAAAUGCGCAGAUAUCAGGAGGAACACCAAUUGCGAAGGCAGCUCGCUGGGACGUUACUGACGCUGAGACGCGAAAGCUAGGGGAGCAAACGGG